AUACUACUCCCUUUGUCCGGAAAUAUUCGUCGGAGAGAUAGGUGUAUCGAGACGUAUUUUAGUUUUAGAUACAUCCAUUUUAAUUUAUUUUGACGACAAGUAAUUCCACACGGAGGGAGUAUAUA
rnacentral:pre_miRNA from 1 species